AUUGAACGCUGGCGGCAGGCCUAACACAUGCAAGUCGAGCGGAGCGGCGGACGGGUGAGUAAUGUCUGGGAAACUGCCUGGUAGUGGGGGAUAAAGUCUGGAAACGGGCGCUAAUACCGCAUACUACCAGAUGAGCCUAGGUCGGAUUAGCUAGUUGGUGGGGUAAAGGCCUACCAAGGCGACGUUCCGUAACUGGUGUGAGAGGAUGAUCAGCAACACUGGAACUGAGACACGGCCCAGACUCCUACGGGAGGCAGCAGUGGGGAAUAUUGGACAAUGGGCGAAAGCCUGAUCCAGCCAUGCCGGUGGUGUGAAGAAGGUCUUCGGAUUGUAAAGCAUUUUAAGUUGGGAGGCGUUACCAACAGAAUAAGCACCGGCUAACUUCGUGCCAGCAGCCGCGGUAAUAC
rnacentral:rRNA from 1 species